CAGCCGCCGCGGUAAUACGUAGGUGGCAAGCGUUGUCCGGAAUUAUUGGGCGUAAAGCGCGCGCAGGCGGCCUAUCCAGUCUGUCUUAAAAGUUCGGGGCUCAACCCCGUGAUGGGAUGGAAACUAGUAGGCUAGAGUAUCGGAGAGGAAAGCGGAAUUCCUAGUGUAGCGGUGAAAUGCGUAGAUAUUAGGAAGAACACCAGUGGCGAAGGCGGCUUUCUGGACGAAAACUGACGCUGAGGCGCGAAAGCUAGGGGAGCGAACGGGAUUAGAUACCCGCGUAGUCCCUGUCUCUUAUACA
rnacentral:rRNA from 1 species